AGACCCGAAACCCGGUGAUCUAGCCAUGGGCAGGUUGAAGGUUGGGUAACACUAACUGGAGGACCGAACCGACUAAUGUUGAAAAAUUAGCGGAUGACCUGUGGCUGGGGGUGAAAGGCCAAUCAAACCGGGAGAUAGCUGGUUCUCCCCGAAAGCUAUUUAGGUAGCGCCUCGUGAAUUCAUCUCCGGGGGUAGAGCACUGUUUCGGCUAGGGGGCCAUCCCGGCUUACCAACCCGAUGCAAACUGCGAAUACCGGAGAAUGUUAUCACGGGAGACACACGGCGGGUGCUAACGUCCGUCGUGAAGAGGGAAACAACCCAGACCGCCAGCUAAGGUCCCAAAGUCAUGGUUAAGUGGGAAACGAUGUGGGAAGGCCCAGACAGCCAGGAUGUUGGCUUAGAAGCAGCCAUCAUUUAAAGAAAGCGUAAUAGCUCACUGGUCGAGUCGGCCUGCGCGGAAGAUGUAACGGGGCUAAACCAUGCACCGAAGCUGCGGCAGCGACACUGUGUGUUGUUGGGUAGGGGAGCGUUCUGUAAGCCUGUGAAGGUGUGUCGUGAGGCAUGCUGGAGGUAUCAGAAGUGCGAAUGCUGACAUAAGUAACGAUAAAGCGGGUGAAAAGCCCGCUCGCCGGAAGACCAAGGGUUCCUGUCCAACGUUAAUCGGGGCAGGGUGAGUCGACCCCUAAGGCGAGGCCGAAAGGCGUAGUCGAUGGGAAACGGGUUAAUAUUCCCGUACUUGGUGUUACUGCGAAGGGGGGACGGAGAAGGCUAUGUUGGCCGGGCGACGGUUGUCCCGGUUUAAGCGUGUAGGUGUGUGUUCCAGGUAAAUCCGGUUCACUUUAACACUGAGGCGUGACGACGAGGCACUACGGUGCUGAAGCAACAAAUGCCCUGCUUCCAGGAAAAGCCUCUAAGCAUCAGGUAACAUCAAAUCGUACCCCAAACCGACACAGGUGGUCAGGUAGAGAAUACCAAGGCGCUUGAGAGAACUCGGGUGAAGGAACUAGGCAAAAUGGUGCCGUAACUUCGGGAGAAGGCACGCUGACACGUAGGUGAAGUGAUUUACUCAUGGAGCUGAAGUCAGUCGAAGAUACCAGCUGGCUGCAACUGUUUAUUAAAAACACAGCACUGUGCAAACACGAAAGUGGACGUAUACGGUGUGACGCCUGCCCGGUGCCGGAAGGUUAAUUGAUGGGGUCAGCGCAAGCGAAGCUCCUGAUCGAAGCCCCGGUAAACGGCGGCCGUAACUAUAACGGUCCUAAGGUAGCGAAAUUCCUUGUCGGGUAAGUUCCGACCUGCACGAAUGGCGUAAUGAUGGCCAGGCUGUCUCCACCCGAGACUCAGUGAAAUUGAACUCGCUGUGAAGAUGCAGUGUACCCGCGGCAAGACGGAAAGACCCCGUGAACCUUUACUAUAGCUUGACACUGAACAUUGAGCCUUGAUGUGUAGGAUAGGUGGGAGGCUUUGAAGUGUGGACGCCAGUCUGCAUGGAGCCGACCUUGAAAUACCACCCUUUAAUGUUUGAUGUUCUAACGUGGACCCGUUACCCGGGUUGCGGACAGUGUCUGGUGGGUAGUUUGACUGGGGCGGUCUCCUCCUAAAGAGUAACGGAGGAGCACGAAGGUUGGCUAAUCCUGGUCGGACAUCAGGAGGUUAGUGCAAUGGCAUAAGCCAGCUUGACUGCGAGCGUGACGGCGCGAGCAGGUGCGAAAGCAGGUCAUAGUGAUCCGGUGGUUCUGAAUGGAAGGGCCAUCGCUCAACGGAUAAAAGGUACUCCGGGGAUAACAGGCUGAUACCGCCCAAGAGUUCAUAUCGACGGCGGUGUUUGGCACCUCGAUGUCGGCUCAUCACAUCCUGGGGCUGAAGUAGGUCCCAAGGGUAUGGCUGUUCGCCAUUUAAAGUGGUACGCGAGCUGGGUUUAGAACGUCGUGAGACAGUUCGGUCCCUAUCUGCCGUGGGCGCUGGAGAACUGAGGGGGGCUGCUCCUAGUACGAGAGGACCGGAGUGGACGCAUCACUGGUGUUCGGGUUGUCAUGCCAAUGGCA
rnacentral:rRNA from 1 species